rnacentral:tRNA from 1 species
GUUAAUGUAGCUUAUCCUAUAAAGCAAGGCACUGAAAAUGCCUAGAUGAGUAAUUCUUACUCCAUAAACA